rnacentral:lncRNA from 1 species
AUGCUGAAGAGAUUUCCAUCUCGUCUCUUGUCGAACUGCCUCUUGUGCUUGACAUGCAUCUCUCUCUUGCUGAUCUCGCAUAAACCGUUGAAACAUCUAAUUAAGCUCCAGCACUUCAUCCUCCGACUCUUCAUCAGACAUACGGCCUGCCGCACCUGCCGCAUCCUCCAUCAGUAUCUCUCCCCCAUCUGUGCACUGUGUCAGUUGGCCAAUCAGAGCAGACUGCGCUGUCAGAAGGAGGGACUUUGUAGAAAACAACUUUGAGAGAGACAGCUAUAGAGGACCUACAGUAAUUUCAUACAUGAAUCUCUCACAAGAUGGCAGCAGAAACAGUGGUCUUUAGUCCACCGCUGAACACUAAAGGGAGACCUCUCAGUGUCUGGGACAACAGGUGUACCUCUCGUGAAAUGAUGAAAACAUCUGUCCAAACUAAUUUACGGAGGUUAUGCAAUUCCUACAAAACAAAACAUUCGAGAUCUUUUGUGUUAUUAUGAUAUGCAUCAAAAUAUUAUCGGUUCAUUAUGAGACUGGACAGAUUAGACCAUGGAGUCUAUGUAAGUCGUAGCCUACUGGUUCGAGAGUUCGACUUCUAACCCUAGGGUUGUGGGUUCGAGUCUCGGGCCGGCAAUAACACGACUGAGGUGCCCCUGAGCAAGACACUGAACCCCAACUGCUCCCUGGGCGCCGCAGCAUAAAUGAGGCUCACUGCUCCGGGUGUGUGUUCACUGCUGUGUGUGUGUUCACUGCUGUGUGUGUGUGUGUGUGUGUGUGUGUGUGUGUGUGUGUGUGUGUGUGUGUGUGUGUGUGUGUGCAUUUUGGAUGGGUUAAAAGCAGAGCAUGAAUUCUGAGUAUGGGUCACCAUACUUGGCUGAAUGUCACGUCACUUUCAUUUCAUUUUUUAACUAAUGGGAAACACUAAUGAAUAACUAUACUCUCUUAAAUAUACAUGUUCUUUAUCCAGCAAAACGGUUCUUUAAAGAGCUGUUCACAGAAUGGUUCUUUGGGGAACCCUGAAUGGUUCUUCAGUACAAACCAUCAGUCAGUAAAAAACUGUAAUUUUUAUGGAAAGGUAUUUUUUUAUGGAACCAUUGAUUCCAGUAAGACGCCUUUAUCUUUAUGAGUGUAGUGAGAGUGCAGACAGAGCUUAUUGUUGCACUUACAAUGCAACAGUCGUAAAGGGGGCCAGGAAAAAAAUUAAUGAAAGAAAAAAUUACUUUUGUUGAAGUGCAAAGAUGUUAAACCACUGUGUGUUGUAGUGCACAUAUAAUGUGUUUAAAAUGAAGUGCCUGCUGCUCUUUAAGAUCUGUGAUGUUUUGGUUUGUUGGAAUUGUAUAACCUCAGCAAAUUUGUUUGGACAGAUGUUUUCAGCAUUUCACUAGAUUUGUAAUGAGAAGGGUUUGUACUCCUGUUGUCACAGACAUUAAAAUGCUGCUUACCAGUGUGCUUACAUCCAUGAAGGAUGUUAUUUAUUUCUUUGGUGAAGAAAAAGUACACACUUUUGAGUGUGUAGUAGGCAAGCUUUGGGACAUACUAUAACAUCAUACACAGUUGUGUCUUCAGCAGAAAGCUCUGUCGUACAGUUACACUGUAAACUGACCUGUCAAUCAUCUUCUCACAGUUAAUAUCCUCCACAUUUCACUUACCACAUCAGAGGGAAAAGAAGAAGCACAUUGACCUGCGAGUCAGAAGUAGAAAAACUCAUAUAUUCUGCAUAAUGAUGAAUUUAUAUUGUUUCUAAAAGUUUACAUUGUUGUUGCAGAUUAAAUAUAAC